CAUUUUUGCUUUCGAACUCGCGCAGGGAAAGAUAGGUCACCUAUUUGUUAGAGAUCAGUCGAAUAUGAUGUAAAUGAAUCGUUUUUCGUUUAGACACCUCAAACACGCGUAAUUUAUACGGAGCAGAAUAGAGAGAGAUAAUUUACGUUAAUCAAUAUGUAAACUAUCUAAUUGUUAUCGUUAAUCUACGUUUGAAGGUAACGAUAGAACGCCCACAUUUGCAUCUGUGAAAUUGCCUGAUAUUCCACUUGUCAGGAUCGUCUUUUCUAUAAUCUAACCCACCCUUGCUCAACACAUCCCUCUCUUUCACCUUCUCCUGUCUUCUAUGCCACAUCCUCAUCCUCAUCCUCAUCCUCAUCGCUCGCUCUUGUUUUCUGUCUCCCAGCACAUAGCAUUCUCUCUCGCUGUUUCUCUCUAUCUCGAGUAAACGUGUAUACGCUGCCUGUCUCACCUUCUCGCACAACCUCCACACUUCCUCCCUUUCCCAUCCUUCCGCCUCACUCUCUUUCUCUCUUUCUCUCUCUCUCUCUCUCUCUCUGUCUCGUCGACGCUAUCCCUCUGCUUCUGUCUUACUUCCGCGCUCUCUACAUGCCCGCUCCGAUCCUUCUCCCCCCGUCCCUACCAGUCCAGCCUGUUCCCCCUCGUGCCGCAACACGCCCACGUGUCACGUGGUUGUGUGGGUGCACGUGCACGGAGUCGCACACAGUGGCACACGACCGACCGCCACGGCAACGGAGUGCGGAUGCGGAGUACCUACAGAGUUGAGGGUACAGACGACAGUGCCGCGUACACACCACAACGUUCCGCACUCAUGCCUUGCGUUCUCGCGCGAUAGAUCGCCCGCCGGUAUCCUCUCGUCGAUCCAUCCGAUCGAUCCGUCCCGCACCUCUCCGCAGGAGGCUGAUCUCGCGUCCCGCGAUAGUUGGAAACGUUUGCUCGCACGCCGUCGUCACGACGACGCGUCAAAGACGCGGAAUUCGAAGAUAAUCGCGACUGCUCUCUCGGUCUCCGCGCGCGCGAUCGAGAUGAAAGCAGCAAGGUCGAGAGAAAAUCCGAUCGGCGAAAACGAUCGUGGGAGGAAGGGCCGAUGGCAGUCCUAUAUGAGAUACGGAAUGUUUCUUGUGAGCGCCACGUGUCUUUGAUCUUCCGUGGGACGCCGUGAUUCUUUACGUACAUCCGGAAUGGCCGGCUGCCUUCGCGAAGAUGAUAUCGAGAGCACGGAGGAGAUGGACCUGCGCACCAGAGGAUGACGAGAGAAAUAUCUUGGGAUCUUGGGUUGGUUCCACGAAAAAAACACCUAGUGCCUUUGUGACCAUGUAUUACAUUUCUCAAACUCAAGCGUUACUAAUACAAUAUUUAGAGUUUGUGACUAUUGAAUUAGCAUGAAACUGAAGAUUUCAUCAGCUGAUUAUUUGAUAUCUCGAGAACGAACGUAUGUCACUAUGCUGAAAAGGAUCUCACUGGUGCAUAUCGUCCCAAUUGAUAUCACUGGUACGACCGGAAUGGCUUUUUCUCAUUUGCCUAUUUUUGAUAUGUUAAUAAAAAGUCGCAAUUUAAUAACAAUACGUGUCGCGUAAAUUAAAUGACAGAUAUAAUAAAUCUUGUCGCAUGUUUGUAUUCUUCGUCUCGAGGGAAAAUGAAAUCGAGAUGACGUAAGUGAAAAGGGGACUUUAAUAGUGAUGACUGAUGCUAAAUUAUUCCCUCACGCGUGAUUGUACGUAUCUACUACUAGGAUCUCGCUGGGAUAUUACGCACGGCGAUAGUCUCUAAUAUCAGAGACGUACUCUUUACGUACGCCUUCGGUGCAGGAAAUUUUACGGUGCCUUUUCGAUGUCCUCGCUCUUAAUGUCAUCAAAGGUUGAAGCGUGGCCCUGGGAUCCGCGAAAACUAGUCGCACCCGGCGCACAGUCGAGCGGAAAAGAGAAGCUAGACUAGACUAAGGGACGUCUCUCGAGUUCUCGAGGUUGUCGAGUGCCAAUAGAAACGUCCGAGUGUCACGAAGGAGCGCACGGACGGGAAAGAGCAGAGCGAACUUGAUGGUGGUCGAAUUCAAGCGCGGUCGUCGUAGUAAAGUGUUCUCGAGUUCUCGUCGGUGCGCGUAUGUACACACGUGUUCGCGAAAAGAUGCUGCGGCGGACGAUUCGAUAGUAAUUGCACUGUCUUCGGAGAGGGUUGCCGCCGGGUUGUGAACUCCGUCAGGUGGAGAGAUUGAAAGACGCUCGGUACCGUGAAGAAGAGCUUCCCCUGCCGGCUGAACCCUGUGACUCCGCACGUCUUUCGCACGGGACACAUUUAAUUUACGAACAUUCUUGAACCUUGACGAUCGUUUCAAUCAUCAUUUAGCUUUUAUAUUGCGAACAUGUAUUGCAGCGUGCGGGACAGCACGAGUUGGAAAACAUAUUCUCACCGGUGAUUUGUUGCAAGUGCUAAAUACGUGGAUAUGUGUCACUGUGGAUUAAUGUGCGAAUGUGUUAAAGUGCUUAUAUUGUUCAUCACCUGGAAGGCGAAAGGUUUUUCACCUCUCUAAUGUGCUCUUAAUAAGAUAAUUAACUGAUUGCUUAACAAAAAAUCAUGUGUUCUGUCGUUUGUACGCUUUCGCACUUUUAUACGUGUUAAAAACAUCAAAAGAGAUUAUUUUGUAAUAAUAACGUCACAAAUUGUCGUAAUGUUAAACGAAG
rnacentral:lncRNA from 13 species